CAACUUACCUGGCAGGGGAGGUACUAUGAUCACGAAGGUGGUUUUCCCAGGGUGAGGCUCAUCCAUUGCACUGCGGGUGUGCUGACUCCUGCGAUUUCCCCAAAUGUGGGAAACUCAACUGCAUAAUUUGUGGUUGUGGGGGACUGCGUUUGUGCUCUCCCGUU
rnacentral:snRNA from 1 species